UAUAACUAAAAAUUACUGUUGGGUUUAAUGUUGGAUUACUAAUUACACGUACAUCUCCACCGCCUGGUGCCCAAGUGUCAUAAACACCACCGAAGAACAUUGCUUUUAAUACUAAAAGUAAAGCACCACUUCCUAAAAGAAUUAAAUGAAUACCAAUAAUAGUAGUCAUUUUAUUUUUAUCUUUCCA
rnacentral:antisense_RNA from 1 species